UACAGAGGGGCAAGCGUUAUUCGGAAUUAUUGGGCGUAAAGGCGCGUAGGCGGCCAUUCAAGUGACGGGUGAAAGCCCUCGGCUUAACCGAGGAACUGCCUGUCAGACUGGAUGGCUUGAGACCGGGAGAGGUGAGUGGAAUUCCCAGUGUAGCGGUGAAAUGCGUAGAUAUUGGGAGGAACACCAGUGGCGAAGGGCGGCUCACUGGACCGGAACUGACGCUGA
rnacentral:rRNA from 1 species